rnacentral:rRNA from 1 species
UACGGAGGGAGCUAGCGUUGUUCGGAAUUACUGGGCGUAAAGCGCACGUAGGCGGCUUUCUAAGUCAGGGGUGAAAUCCUGGAGCUCAACUCCAGAACUGCCUUUGAUACUGGAAAGCUUGAGUUCGGGAGAGGUGAGUGGGACUGCGAGUGUAGAGGUGAAAUUCGUAGAUAUUCGCAAGAACACCAGUGGCGAAGGCGGCUCACUGGCCCGAUACUGACGCUGAGGUGCGAAAGCGUGGGGAGCAAACAGG